rnacentral:rRNA from 1 species
GACGUAGGGCGCGAGCGUUGUCCGGAUUUAUUGGGCGUAAAGAGCUCGUAGGCGGCUUGUCGCGUCGUCCGUGAAAACCUGCGGCUCAACUGCAGGCUUGCGGUCGAUACGGGCAGGCUGGAGUUCGGUAGGGGAGACCGGAAUUCCUGGUGUAGCGGUGAAAUGCGCAGAUAUCAGGAGGAACACCGGUGGCGAAGGCGGGUCUCUGGGCCGAUACUGACGCUGAGGAGCGAAAGCGUGGGGAGCGAACAGG